GUAGGUAUUUUGGUAAGCUUGAAGUGACGUCACGAGGCUGAGAUUAUGAGUGCAUUCUCAACAAAACCGAGUACGUUGUUAUCGGUCGAGCGAAGCGACUUUUUUAAAAUCAUUAU